CUUUUUGGCAAAGGGGUAACCCAGAAACACACAAGAGUGGGCUCUAGGUUUCAGCUUAUCCCUUUGAGGGAUAGGGACAUCAGCAUAAGCAAGGCAUCCAAAUGUCCUCAAAUGAGAAUAGGAUGGAGCUUUGCCAUACAAUUUCAUGGGGAGACUUAUGGUGAAGGAUUCUGGAAGGUAUUUUGUUAAGAAGAUAGGUGGUAGUUAACAGACAAUCCCCCCAAAAAGACACAGGUAGGCCAGAUUGAAAAAGCAGGGCUCUACAUGUUUCAAGAGGUGUUCUGUGUUUUAUUUCAACAACACCAUUCUGUUGAGGUGAAUGAGGGCAGGAGGUUUGAUGAAUAAUCCCCUAGCUACUAAAAAAGGAUAUUCCCUCAGUGCUGGAUCCCAAUUCUAUGGCAUUGUCACUUCUGACAGUCUGAAUGAGGGCAGGAGGUUUGAUGAAUAAUCCACUGGCUACUAAAAAAGGAUAUGCCCUCAAUGCUGGAUCCCAGUUCUAAGGCAUUGUCACUUCUAACAAUCUGAACCACAGUGUUAAACUGAGUUUUAACAAAAGAGAUGAAAGACUUAAGCAGGGAAAAAGCAUAGCUUUUAGAUCCCAUUAAGUGUGUCCAGGUUGCCCUAGAAAAAUCAUCAACUAUAGUAAGGAAGUAUUUGUAACCAGAAGAAGUAGAAGUGUGGCAAGGCCCCCAAGUAUCCACAUGUAUUAGUUGAAAUGAUCUAGUAGUACUGAUACUGCUGUCAUGAAAAGGGAGUCUAGUCUGUUUGGCCAUAGGGCAGAC
rnacentral:lncRNA from 1 species